GUGGUUAUCACUUUCGGUUUUGAUCCGGACAACCCCGGUUCGAAUCCGGGUAGGACCU
rnacentral:tRNA from 1 species